UGUCUGUUCAAAAUUUUGUAGUCUCUGAUAAACUUAUUUGUUUUAUUUUUUUAGCCUUUGAAUGAGAGCUUGACAUAUGGUAUAACUGGUUUGUUGUUGAAGAUGGUUAGUUGACCUAUGGAUAUCUUUUCUAUUAUUUUUACUGUUGGAUAGCUAUCUCAUUAUCAAUAUAGUUUCUUGCACUUUCUUUUUUGUUUUUGUUUAAAGUUAUUGUAAUACAAAUUCAAAUCAUGACCUAACUAUUAAAUAACAUUGUCAAUG
rnacentral:lncRNA from 1 species